UCCGAAUUGACUCCGGCAGUCCCCCUAGAGUCCCCGGCAUUAUCCGCUGGCAACUAGGGGCGGGGGUUGCGCUCGUUGCGGGACUUAACCCAACAUCUCACGACACGAGCUGACGACAGCAAUGCACCACCUGUGCAGGGCCCCGAAGGACACCGUAUCUCUACGGCUUUUCCCUGCAUGUCAAGCCCAGGUAAGGUUCUUCGCGUCGCCUCGAAUUAAGCAACAUGCUCCACCGCUUGUGCGGGCCCCCGUCAAUUCCUUUGAGUUUCAUUCUUGCGAACGUACUCCCCAGGUGGGUUACUUAUCACUUUCGCUUAGCCACUCAGUCUUACGACCAAACAGCUAGUAACCAUCGUUUACGGCGUAGACUAC
rnacentral:misc_RNA from 1 species